rnacentral:rRNA from 1 species
GAUCAUGGCUCAGGAUGAACGCUAGCGGCAGGCCUAACACAUGCAAGUCGAACGGUAGAGGGGGCAACCCCUUGAGAGUGGCGAACGGGUGAGUAAUAUAUCGGAACGUGCCCAGUCGUGGGGGAUAACGUAGCGAAAGUUACGCUAAUACCGCAUACGAUCUACGGAUGAAAGCGGGGGAUCGCAAGACCUCGCGCGAUUGGAGCGGCCGAUAUCAGAUUAGGUAGUUGGUGAGGUAAAGGCUCACCAAGCCAACGAUCUGUAGCUGGUCUGAGAGGACGACCAGCCACACUGGAACUGAGACACGGUCCAGACUCCUACGGGAGGCAGCAGUGGGGAAUUUUGGACAAUGGACGCAAGUCUGAUCCAGCCAUUCCGCGUGCAGGAUGAAGGCCCUCGGGUUGUAAACUGCUUUUGUACGGAACGAAAAGGUCUCUCUUAAUACGGGGGGCUCAUGACGGUACCGUAAGAAUAAGCACCGGCUAACUACGUG